rnacentral:misc_RNA from 1 species
AGUCUAUCCCGGUGCAAUGA